CUACGUGCCAGCAGCCGCGGUAAUACGUAGGGUGCGAGCGUUGUCCGGAAUUAUUGGGCGUAAAGGGCUUGUAGGCGGUUUGUCGCGUCUGCCGUGAAAUCCUCUGGCUUAACUGGGGGCGUGCGGUGGGUACGGGCAGACUUGAGUGCGGUAGGGGAGACUGGAACUCCUGGUGUAGCGGUGGAAUGCGCAGAUAUCAGGAAGAACACCGGUGGCGAAGGCGGGUCUCUGGGCCGUUACUGACGCUGAGGAGCGAAAGCGUGGGGAGCGAACAGGAUUAGAUACCCUGGUAGUCCACGCUGUAAACGUUGGGCACUAGGUGUGGGGGCCACCCGUGGUUUCUGCGCCGUAGCUAACGCUUUAAGUGCCCCGCCUGGGGAGUACGGCCGCAAGGCUAAAACUCAAAGGAAUUGACGGGGGCCCGCACAAGCGGCGGAGCAUGCGGAUUAAUUCGAUGCAACGCGAAGAACCUUACCAAGGCU
rnacentral:rRNA from 1 species